UUCCAGCUGACGAUUCCGAAAAUAGGGAGAAACGCGCGUCCGACUGGAU
rnacentral:hammerhead_ribozyme from 1 species